GACGAACGCUGGCGGCGUGCUUAACACAUGCAAGUCGAACGGAAAGGCACUGCUAGUGUGGGGUGAUCGAGUGGCGAACGGGUGAGUAACACGAGAGUAACCUGACCUAGACUUUGGAAUAACUUAAGGAAACUGGGGCUAAUACAGGAUAGGAGCUGAUGCUGCAUGGAGGGGGUUGGAAAGUUUCGGCGGUUGGGGAUGGACUCGCGGCUUAUCAGCUUGUUGGUGGGGUAGUGGCAUACCAAGGCUGUGACGGGUAGCCGGCCUGAGAGGGUGGCCGGCCUCAUUGGUACUGAGAUACGGCCCAGUCUCCUACGGUAGGCAGCAGUGGCGAAUAUUGCACAAUGGUCGGGGGCCUGAUGCAGCAACGCCGCGUUCGUGAUGACGGCCUUCUGGUUGUAAACCGCUUUCGCCUGUUACGAAGCGUUUGUGACGGUAAUGAGUAAAUAAGCACCGGCUAACUACGUG
rnacentral:rRNA from 1 species